UACGAAGGGGGCUAGCGUUGCUCGGAAUUACUGGGCGUAAAGCGCGUGUAGGCGGCGUCGUUAGUCGGAUGUGAAAGCCCUCGGCUCAACCGAGGAAGUGCAUCCGAUACUGCGAUGCUUGAGUGUUGGAGGGGGUGGCGGAAUUCCCGGUGUAGAGGUGAAAUUCGUAGAUAUCGGGAGGAACACCUGUGGCGAAGGCGGCCACCUGGACAACAACUGACGCUGAGACGCGAAAGCGUGGGUAGCAAACAGGAUUGAGAUA
rnacentral:rRNA from 1 species